GACGAACGCUGGCGGCGUGCUUAACACAUGCAAGUCGAACGGAAAGGCCCUGCUUUUGUGGGGUGCUCGAGUGGCGAACGGGUGAGUAACACGUGAGUAACCUGACCUUGACUUUGGGAUAACUUCAGGAAACUGGGGCUACUACAGGAUAGGAGCUCCUGCUGCAUGGUGGGGGUUGGAAAGUUUCGGCGGUUGUGGAUGGACUCGCGGCUUAUCAGCUUGUUGGUGGGGUAGUGGCUUACCAAGGCUUUGACGGGUAGCCGGCCUGAGAGGGUGACCGGCGACAUUGCGACUGAGAUACGGCCCAGUCGCCUACAGGAGGCAGCAGUGGGGAAUAUUGCACAAUGGGCGGAAGCCUGAUGCAGCAACGCCGCGGGCGGGAAGACGGCCUGCUGGUAGUAAACCGCUUUCGCCUGUGACGAAGCGGGAGUGACGGUAAUGAGUAAAGAAGCACCGGCUAACUACGUG
rnacentral:rRNA from 1 species